rnacentral:rRNA from 1 species
UUGAACGCUGGCGGAAUGCUUUACACAUGCAAGUCGAGCGGCAGCGCGGGGGCAACCCUGGCGGCGAGCGGCGAACGGGUGAGUAAUACAUCGGAACGUGUCCUUAAGUGGGGGAUAGCUCGGCGAAAGCCGGAUUAAUACCGCAUAAGCUCUGAGGAGGAAAGCGGGGGCUCCGUAAGGACCUCGCGCUGUUGGAGCGGCCGAUGUCGGAUUAGCUAGUUGGUGGGGUAAAGGCCCACCAAGGCGACGAUCCGUAGCUGGUCUGAGAGGAUGAUCAGCCACACUGGAACUGAGACACGGUCCAGACUCCUACGGGAGGCAGCAGUGGGGAAUUUUGGACAAUGGGGCAACCCUGAUCCAGCCAUUCCGCGUGAGUUGAAGAAGGCCU